AAAUUGAAGAGUUUGAUCAUGGCUCAGAUUGAACGCUGGCGGCAGGCCUAACACAUGCAAGUCGAACGGUAACAGGAAACAGCUUGCUGUUUCGCUGACGAGUGGCGGACGGGUGAGUAAUGUCUGGGAAACUGCCCGAUGGAGGGGGAUAACUACUGGAAACGGUAGCUAAUACCGCAUAACGUCGCAAGACCAAAGAGGGGGACCUUCGGGCCUCUUGCUAUCGGAUGUGCCCAGAUGGGAUUAGCUAGUAGGUGGGGUAACGGCUCACCUAGGCGACGAUCCCUAGCUGGUCUGAGAGGAUGACCAGCCACACUGGAACUGAGACACGGUCCAGACUCCUACGGGAGGCAGC
rnacentral:rRNA from 1 species